rnacentral:rRNA from 1 species
UACGUAGGGUGCAGGCGUUAAUCGGAAUUACUGGGCGUAAAGCGUGCGCAGGCGGUUUGCUAAGACAGGUGUGAAAUCCCCGGGCUUAACCUGGGAACUGCGCUUGUUACUGGCAAGCUGGAGUGUGGCAGAGGAGACUGGAAUUCCUGGUGUAGCAGUGAAAUGCGUAGAUAUCAGGAGGAAUACCGAUGGCGAAGGCAGGUCUCUGGGCUGACACUGACGCUCAUGCACGAAAGCGUGGGGAGCAAACAGG